rnacentral:rRNA from 1 species
CCUACGGGAGGCAGCAGUGAGGAAUAUUGGUCAAUGGGCGCGAGCCUGAACCAGCCACGUAGCGUGAAGGAUGACUGCCCUACGGGUUGUACACUUCUUUUAUAAAGGGAUAAAGUGCGGCACGGGUGACUUUUUGUCUGUACUUUAUGAAUAAUGAUCGGCUAAUUCCGUGCCAGCAGCCGCGGUAAUACGGAGGGACCGAGCGUUAUCCGGAUUUAUUGGGUUUAAAGGGAGCGUAGAGGGGUUGUUAAGUCAGUUGUGAAAGUUUGCGGCUCAACCGUAAAAUUGCAUUUGAUACUGGCAGUCUUGAGUACAGUUGAGGUAGGCGGAAUUCGUGGUGUAGCGGUGAAAUGCUUAGAUAUCACGAAGAACUCCGAUUGCGAAGGCAGCUUACUAAACUGCCACUGACAUUGAUGCUCGAAAGUGUGGGUAUCAAACAGGAUUAGAUACCCGAGUAGUC